GCUCAGCCACUACAGAGGAAACAAUGAGCUCAACACAGAAGAUGUUGACUGUGACCUCAGAGGCCAACUGGACCACACAGCUGCAGCAGGAGUGAGGGAGAGGAGUCUUCAUCCAGCUUCAAAGAAAACAUCCAGUUAGAAACCCUGCAGCAACCCGACCCAAAACUGUGUCUUCUUGUUGGCCUCAACGUUGAAGUGUCAAACGUCCAACAUCUGGAAAGGAAACCACGCCAGUGUACUGUGAUGUUUCACCAACAUGUGGCAGACGCUGGUCCUGCCUUUCAUGCUGACAUCAGCAGAGAGCCCCGCCUACCUCAAAGCCUCCCCUGUCAUGUAUUGAUCAGGAUGAUUAUGAAGAUGAGCGAGUGCAAAUAAGACUGUAAAAGUCCACGAGCAGAAUGUUUGGAUGCUUUCUGAUGAUUCAUGAAUAUCAUGAGAGUGUUUGUGUGUUUUGUCUUUUCUUUGCUGACGUUUGUUACUAACAAAGACAAUUUACGCUCUGUGUGUGUUUUCAUCCUUACCAGCCGCACUCUAACUGCAAUGAAGGAAACAAACUGUAGAAAUGGUCGACUCAGUGACUUCAUAAAAUAUUGAAGUGGUUCAGGUAGAGCCAGUUUUUAAAUGACCAUGAACACUGAGCGUAUUGUAUCUGUACAGCAUGUUUUUCUAUUAGACAGAUUUGUAACAGAGGCCUUGCUCUCAGUAAGUUUGAAAUCCUUUUCUGAUUUAUUUUCUAAUCUCUGAUCUUUGUGUAUCCUGCUCAGUUUGCAUGCUGCCUGUAGGAGUUUCUGUCUUUGUAUUUGAAGAGAAUUCAUUGAAUAUACUCAGCUGCUUCCCUUUGGUGCCUCACACAUCACUGAAGUUUUUCAGUGUCCAGUUAUUUGUUUUUAAUAGCUGUUUGAAUUCUCUGUAUGUUUGACCCUGUAGACUGUUUAAUGGACUGCUCGUCUUCCUGUUUGUAACCACUGCCUGUUUAGGACUAAAGAUUUGGAUUUUUGACUUUAA